rnacentral:rRNA from 1 species
UACGUAGGGUGCGAGCGUUAAUCGGAAUUACUGGGCGUAAAGCGUGCGUAGGUGGUUUGUUAAGUCUGAUGUGAAAGCCCUGGGCUCAACCUGGGAAUUGCAUUGGAUACUGGCAGGCUAGAGUGCGGUAGAGGAUGGCGGAAUUCCCGGUGUAGCAGUGAAAUGCGUAGAGAUCGGGAGGAACAUCUGUGGCGAAGGCGGCCAUCUGGACCGCACUGACACUGAGGCACGAAAGC